AUUUAAAUAGCUUAUUAAGAGCAUAAUAUUGAAGAUAUUAAGGUAAUCUUUAGAUUUUUAAAUA
rnacentral:tRNA from 1 species